rnacentral:rRNA from 1 species
UACGUAGGGGGCAAGCGUUGUCCGGAUUUAUUGGGCGUAAAGAGCGUGUAGGCGGCUUCACAGGUCUGCUGUGAAAACUCGAGGCUCAACCUCGAGAUGUCGGUGGAAACCGUGUGGCUAGAGUCCGGAAGAGGAGAGUGGAAUUCCCGGUGUAGCGGUGAAAUGCGCAGAUAUCGGGGAAGAACACCCGUGGCGAAGGCGGCUCUCUGGGGACGGUACUGACGCUGAGACGCGAAAGCGUGGGGGAGCGAACAGG